UACGGAGGGUGCAAGCGUUGUCCGGAUUUAUUGGGUUUAAAGGGUGCGUAGGCGGCUUUAUAAGUCCGUGGUGAAAUCCAACAGCUCAACUGUUGAACUGCCAUGGAUACUGUAAGGCUUGAGUACAGACGAGGUAGGCGGAAUGGAUAGUGUAGCGGUGAAAUGCAUAGAUAGCAUCCAGAACCCCGAUUGCGUAGGCAGCUGACUAGGCUGGUACUGACACUGAGGCACGAAAGCGUGGGGAGCGAACAGG
rnacentral:rRNA from 1 species